UCGGGAAUUUUGGGCAAUGGGCGAAAGCCUGACCCAGCAACGCCGCGUGAAGGAUGAAGUAUUUCGGUAUGUAAACUUCGAAAGAAUAGGAAGAAUAAAUGACGGUACUAUUUAUAAGGUCCGGCUAACUACGUGCCAGCAGCCGCGGUAAUACGUAGGGACCAAGCGUUGUUCGGAUUUACUGGGCGUAAAGGGCGCGUAGGCGGCAUGACAAGUCACUUGUGAAAUCUCUGGGCUUAACCCAGAACGGCCAAGUGAUACUGUCGCGCUAGAGUGCAGAAGGGGCAAUCGGAAUUCUUGGUGUAGCGGUGAAAUGCGUAGAUAUCAAGAGGAACACCUGAGGUGAAGACGGGUUGCUGGGCUGACACUGACGCUGAGGCGCGAAAGCCAGGGGAGCAAACGGGAUUAGAUACCCUAGUAGUCCCUGAGCGGGCUGGCAAGGCGCAU
rnacentral:rRNA from 1 species